rnacentral:lncRNA from 1 species
UCCUUUCAUUUUGCCUCUUGGAUUGUCAUGAACUUCCUGAGCAAGAAGGCCAUCCACCAUGCAGUGUAAUGUCUUGCUAAGAGAAAUUAGUAUUCAGUCUGCUCAGGUUCCAGCAAGGACUUUCUUCAUGAAGAUCUUCAAGUGGAAUCAAGGCAGCCUUGCCCAUAAAGUCAUUCCUGUGGCUCCACUGAGAAAUUCGAUUAAGUAUUCCAAUACUGCUGUGAAACGAAGUGAUCUGAUUCCAGUGAGUCAAUUUAUCUUGCAAGCUGCCUUAGAGGUUUCCAAAGUAUUGAUAAGAUGGAGGCUGGAAGAGCUUGAAACAGACCAUAUGAAGCCAGGUCUGAGCUGGAAAAGCAAAGAGGCCCAAGGAACAGCACAGACCCUGACUGGUGGGGUAUCUGUGUAUUUUGAAACUAAAAUAUUUACCAUGGAGCUGACCAAUGAUAUACUUUUUAGAGGUGAUGCAUGAGAUGUUUUCUAGGAACUUCACCAGGGAUGAACCAUGACUGAGCUAAAUAAACCAGGCUUUCUAAUCUCAUCCCUUUUGGAAGUAAUUGGUCUGAUGAUGAGCAGGUGACCUAGUUCAACUGCAGAUGGAGACACCUGGAGAGGACUUCUUUUCCUGACUAAAAAGACAAAGCUGUGCAAAAAGGAAAGAUUUAACUGAUGGGCUCUCCUGAGGUUUGUUGUGAGACUCUAUUGCUAACAUAAUAAGCAAUCUGGGGCAUAGCCCAUCUGGAUUCUUUACACUAAGGCAAGAGGCAAGCAGAAGACAGAAAGAGAGAAAGCAGAGGACCUCCGGGAAAGGAAGCCCCCUUUUCAGUCGGCCUAGGCAGAAGUAGAUUUACUCUGAAGAUUCACUCCAAGGGUGAAGUUUAAAGGGUGCUUCACUUGCUCUGGUUUCAUAAAUAAAUUUUGAUCUUCUUACAUACA